rfam:Brassica oleracea var. oleracea cultivar TO1000 chromosome C3, whole genome shotgun sequence
UAUGGGAAGUGAUGAUAAGAUAUAUCAAUAUGUCAUAGGCAUAUAUGCAUAUGCAAUGCUGAACAACAUAUUUGCACGUCAGUCUGAUCCCAUU